rnacentral:rRNA from 1 species
AUAAGCGGAGGAAAAGAAACUAACAAGGAUUCCCCUAGUAACGGCGAGUGAAGCGGGAAGAGCUCAAAUUUGAAAUCUGGUAGCCUUCGGUUGCCCGAGUUGUAAUCUAGAGAAGUGUUUUCCGUGCCGGCCCAUGUACAAGUCCCUUGGAACAGGGCGUCAUAGAGGGUGAGAAUCCCGUCCUUGACAUGGACCCCCGGUGCUUUGUGAUACACUUUCAACGAGUCGAGUUGUUUGGGAAUGCAGCUCAAAAUGGGUGGUGAAUUCCAUCUAAAGCUAAAUAUUGGCGAGAGACCGAUAGCGAACAAGUACCGUGAGGGAAAGAUGAAAAGCACUUUGGAAAGAGAGUUAAACAGUACGUGAAAUUGUUGAAAGGGAAACGAUUGAAGUCAGUCAUGCUCUUGGGACUUACCUCCCUUGAGUGGGGUCAACAUCAGUUUUGAUCGAUGGAUAAAGGCACGGGGAAGGUAGCACUCUCGGGUGAACUUAUAGCCUCGCGUCAUAUACAUUGAUUGGGACUGAGGAACGCAGCAUGCCUUAUGGCCGGGAUUCGUCCACGUACAUGCUUAGGAUGUUGACAUAAUGUCAGGGUAGC